AGGACUAACGCUGGCGGCGUGCCUAACACAUGCAAGUCGAACGAGGGGUAGCAAUACCCCUAGUGGCAGACGGGUGAGUAACACGUAGUCAACCUACCUCUUAAUGGGGGAUAACUAGCCGAAAGGUUAGCUAAUACCGCAUACGAUCGUCGAGUGGCAUCACACGACGAUGAAAGGAGCAAUCCGUUGAGAGAGGGGACUGCGUCCCAUUAGUUAGUUGGUGGGGUAAUGGCCUACCAAGACUCCGAUGGGUAGCUGGCUUGAGAGAGCGACCAGCCACACUGGAACUGAGACACGGUCCAGACUCCUACGGGAGGCAGCAGUGAGGAAUUUUUCCGCAAUGGGGGAAACCCUGACGGAGCGACGCCGCGUGUGGGAAGAAGGCCUUCGGGUCGUAAACCACUGUCGAGGGGGACGAUAUUGACGGUACCCCUGGAGGAAGCCCCGGCUAACUACGUGCCAGCAGCCGC
rnacentral:rRNA from 1 species